UACGUAGGGACCAAGCGUUGUUCGGAUUUACUGGGCGUAAAGGGCGCGUAGGCGGCAAUUCAAGUCAGUUGUGAAAUCUCCGAGCUUAACUCGGAACGGUCAACUGAUACUGUUUUGCUAGAGUACAGAAGGGGCAAUCGGAAUUCUUGGUGUAGCGGUGAAAUGCGUAGAUAUCAAGAGGAACACCUGAGGUGAAGACGGGUCUCUGGGCCGAUACUGACGCUGAGGAGCGAAAGCGUGGGGAGCGAACAGG
rnacentral:rRNA from 1 species